UACAUAUAUAAAUACAUAUAUAUAUACACAUAUAUAUAUAUACACAUAUAUAUACACAUAAUAUAUAUAUAUACACAUAUAUAUAUACACAUACAAGUAUCCAGUGUGUUAUGACGAGCAGGGAUUAAAUUGGGAGGUGGGAGGAAGGGGUGUGACCAACAACCAACAGAGUCCCACCACCUCCAGGGUACAGUGAGACACUGUAUACAGUGACAGUUCAAUAGAUUCAUAUGAAAAAUUUACCAAUUUUGGGGGACAGAGAGACAGGACAGUUUCAUCACCUUACAAAAUCCAUAUUUAACCCCUGGUUUUAAGUGGAGCGGCUGCCACUUUAAAAGCUUGUUUCCUCAAACAAACAUUUCUCUAAUGGGUUAAUGUUUAAAAAGCUAGGCUAGUCCUUUAAAAGGAAAAGAGGACAAGGGGUAAAAGACUCAGCACCCCCCCCCCCACGUUGUUUUUAAGGUACAAAAAAAUAAGCGAUAUUUCUUAUCAACCAGACGUUGUACAACAGCUUGUUAUUAACAUUUUGAUUUGGGAGUCUGAAAAACACUCCAAAGGUUUUUAUUUUUAGAUUUUUUGUUUUGUUUAUUUGUUUAAUUUGAGACCAACACCUAAAGGAAAAAGGUUAAAGUAUCCUUUCUGAAACACCACAGUUUCAAACACUUAACAAGCAGUUUGUUUUCUCUAUACACGGCUGCAUGUCACAUACGUACAUGCAGGACACCCUAUAGGGGAACUGGAUUCUAUCAGAGCCAUAUAUACAUUAAUACUGUAUUAUAUAUAUAUAUGUCUCUGGGUUCUUCCCCCUAUGCAACAAUGGUUCUUUACCCAGGAAAGACAUUUGUAGCAAACAUAGCCAGCUAAAUAUUUUGGUAGCAAGAAAACAUAUUUUUUUUCUGUCAUUUUGAUGGCUCAAAUGAGUUAUACCAAUAACUGUCAAUCACUUUGUAUUGUAUUGUUUUUUUUGUAUUGGUUCCAACCAACCACUGUUGGAAAGAAAACAUUUGUUUUGAUGAAGCUUGAAAUAAUUGCUAUUCAUAAUUCUAAUAAGGCUUUGGGGUAUUUGAGCAGCAACUUCUAACAUAUACAAUCUCUGCCUUGUUUGUCAAAACAGCCUAGUCUAAAAAGAAGCAUACAGAAGAGCAGGCUCUCCUAGUUAUCUCCAUAAACAAUGAUAGAAUCAUAGAAUACAGCAUAAAUGCACUGGAGAACAUUAGUUAAACACCCCAGUGUUCUACUUUCACAUUGCUGGUCAGUCACAUUUAAAAUCCUUUUUCUUUAGCAUACAAGUUGGUUGUCUUUCAAAUGCUGUCACAAUUCUCUAUUGAUGAGGUGAAUUAGCUGCUUAUGUCAUGCAUUAUUCCCUCUAUUUUCUUCUGACGUUGAAGAUAUAUAUAAUAUAUAUAUAUAUAUAUAUAUAUAUAUAUAUAAUAUCACCAGAGUACAGUGUAGCUCGCUAUCGAUAGAGAAAAUAGCAAGGGAACUUAACCAAUUAAGUCAAGCUGCUGGUUAUCAUGUUGUAGGAACACGGUUGUGUCAGUUCACUUUCAAAUGUCAAAAUCUCAACUGUCAGAAGUUGGACUAUAGACAAUAAAUGCAGUUAUAAAGAGUGGAAGUGAUGGGAAUGCCUAAGGCUGAAGGCAUCACGUCAUAUUCAAGGGAACCAUAUUAGGUCAAAAGUCAAGUCAAUAUUCUAAAAGUUGGAUAUAUACUAUAGAUAAAUAAGGUGCAACUAUUCCUCAAGGAAUUAUUCUACUUGAUUAACACAAUGCUAAAAAAAAAACUACUGUAAAGUAAUCAUUCGGGUCAAAUCACAGAAAUGUCCUACUGUGUUUUACAGCAAGUAUGGAUGGGUGGAGAGUGACAAGUUGAGAAGGCAGAUCUAGGAUCAGGUCCACAAUGUCCAUAUAAUCUUCUUCAUUAUGAUCUAAAAGGCAAAACUGACCCUAGAUCAGCACUCCUACUCAGAGACACAAGAAUACAGGCACAGGUCAAGAAGAGUCAUCUCUCAUAUACUGUGUCUCUCACAUCAUGAAACCGACGGCAGUGAGCUGCUCACAGUAUAUUUUCCUCCACAGUAUAUCUUCCUCCACAGUAUAUUGUCCUCCACUGUCCGUGUCCCCAUAACGGGCUCGAACCAGUGACCAUCCUCGUUGACAAAGUACCGACCGAUUGAGCUAUACAAAAGGAUCCAAUUGGAUGGCUCCAUCGACGACAUUUCAAGCUAGCUGUGGAGUGACCUUACGGCACGUUCUUAACUCUGUUACAACGACAACACUAGAUGAUGGGAGUAUUAGGAUAAGGAAAUGAGGAUCUGGAUGGUAGCAGUGAGGUUGAAGGUGGGUCAGGGAUUAAAUGGGGGUCAGUGAGCUGAAUGUGUUACCCCAUACAGUAGGAGGUUAAAGGGGGUGAGUUAAAUGUGUUACCCCAUACAGUAGGAGGUUAAAUGGGGGUUGAGGUGGAGGGGGGUCAGGGAGCAGUAGCAGGUUAAAGGGGGAUCAGGGAGCAGUAGGAGGUUAAAGGGGGAUCAGGGAGCAGGAGGUUAAAGGGGGAUCAGGGAGCAGUAGGAGGUUAAAGGGGGAUCAGGGAGCAGUAGGAGGUUAAAGGGGGAUCAGGGAGCAGUAGGAGGUUAAAGGGGGAUCAGGGAGCAGUAGGAGGUUAAAGGGGGAUCAGGGAGCAGUAGGAGGUUAAAGGGUGAUCAGGGAGCAGUAGGAGGUUAAAGGGGGAUCAGGGAGCAGUAGGAGGUUAAAGGGGGAUCAGGGAGCAGUAGAAGGUUAAAGGGGGAUCAGGGAGCAGGAGGUUAAAGGGGGAUCAGGGAGCAGUAGUAUGUUAAAGGGGGAUCAGGGAGCAGUAGGAGGUUAAAGGGGGAUCAGGGAGCAGGAGGUUAAAGGGGGAUCAGGGAGCAGUAGGAGGUUAAAGGGGGAUCAGGGAGCAGUAGUAUGUUAAAGGGGGAUCAGGGAGCAGUAGGAGGUUAAAAGUGGGGACAUAGAGUAGGUUAUAUAUCUUUAAAGAACCCCUCGUUUGGAACUUCCAUGAGGUCAAAGGUGCUUUGAUACAUACAGUGCCUUCAGAAAGUAUUCACACCUCUUGACUAUUUCCCACAUCUUGUUGUGUUACAGCCUGAAUUUAAAAUGGAUUAAAUGUAGAUUUUUGUUUGUCAAUUGCCGACACACAAUACCGCAUAAUGUCAAAAUGGAAUUACAGUACUAGUCAAAAGUUUGGACACACCUACUCAUUCAAGGGUUUUUCUUUAUUUUUACUAUUUUCUACAUUGUAGAAUAAUAGUGAAGACAUCAAAACUAUGGAAAUUACACAUAUGGAAUCAUGUAACCAAAAAAGUGUUAAACAAUUCAAAAUAUAUUUUAUAUUUGAGAUUCUUCAAAGUAGCCACCAUUUGCCUUGAAGACAGCUUUGCACACUCUUGGCAUUCUCUCAACUAGCUUCAUGAGGUAGUCACCUGGAAUGCAAUUCAAUUAACAGGUGUGCCUUGUUAAAAGUGAAUUUGUGGAAUUUCAUUCCUUAAUGCGUUUGAACCAAUCAGUUGUGUUGUGACAAGGUAGGGGUGGUAUACAGAAGAUAUCCCAUUUUGGUAAAAGGCCAAGUCCAUAUUAUGGCAAGAACACCUCAAAUAAGCAAAGAGAAAUGAGAGUCCAUCUUUACUUUAAGACAUGAAGGUCAGUCAUUUCAGAAAAUUUCAAGAACUUUGAAAGUUUCUUCAAGUGCAGUCGCAAAAACCAUCAAGCGCUAUGAUGAAACUGGCUCUCAUGAGGACCGCCACAGGAAUGGACCCAGAGUUACCCAGAGUUACCUCUGCUGCAGAAGAUAAGUUCAUUUGAGUUACCAGCCUCAGAAAUUGCAGCCCAAAUAUAUGCGCUUAGUGGGACUAUCAUUUGUUUUUCAACAGGACAAUGACCCAAAACACACCUCCAAGAUGUGUAAUGGCUAUUUGACCAAGAAGGAGAGUGAUGGAGUGCUGCAUCAGAUGACGUGGCCUCCACAAUCACCCGACCUCAACUCAAUUGAGAUGGUUUGAGAUGAGUUGGACCACAGAGUGAAGUAAAAGCAGCCAACGAGUGCUCAGUAUGUGUGGGAACUCCUUCAAGACUGUUGGAAAAGCAUUCCAGGUGAAGCUGGUUGAGAGAAUGCCAAGAGUGUGCAAAGCUGUCAUCAAUGCAAAGGGUGGCUUUGAAGAAUCUAAAAUAUAUUUUGAUUUGAUUAACAGUUUUCUGGUUACUACAUGAUUCCAUAUGUGUUAUUUCCAUAGUUUUGAUGUCUUCACUGUUAUUCUACAAUGUAGAAAAUAGUAAAAUAAAGAAAAACCCUUGAAUGAGUAUGUGUGUUCAAACUUUUGUCUGGUACUGUAUGUUUUUAGAAAUUAUUUGAAAUUAAUAAAAAAUGUAAAGCUGAAAUGUCUUGAGUCAACAACUAUUCAACCCAUUUGUUAUGGCAAGCAUAAAUAGGUUCAUGUUACAUAAAACGUUGCAUGGACUCACUCUGUGUGCAAUAAUAGUGAUUCAUAGUAAUAAACAUGAUUUUUGAAUGACUACCUCAUCUAUGUACCCCACACAUACAAUUAUCUGUAAGGUCCCUCAGUUGAGCAGUGAAUUUCAAACACAGAUUCAACCAAUGCCUCGCAUAAAAGGGCACCCAUUAGUAGAUGGGUAAAAAAAAGCAGACAUUGAAUAUCCCUUUGAGCAUGGUGAAGUUAUUAAUUACACUAAUUACACCCAGUCACUACAAAGAUAGAAGCGUCCUUCCUAACUCAGUUGCCAGAGAGGAAGGAAAUCGCUCAGGGAUUUCACCAUGAGGCCAAUGGUGACUUUAAAACAGUUACAGUGUUUAAUGGCUGUGAUAGGAGAAAACUGAGGAUGGAUCAACAACAUUGUAGUUACUCCACAAUAUUAACAUAAUUACAGAGGGCAAAGAAGGAAGCCUGUACAGAAUAAAAAUUAUCCAAAACAUGCAUCCUGUUUGCAAUAAGGCACUAAAGUAAAAAAGCAAAAAAUGUGGCAAAACAAUUACCUUUUUUGUCCUAAAUACAAAGUGUUAUGUUUGAGGCAAAUCCAAUACAACACAUUACUGAGUACCACUCUCCAUAUUUUCAAGCAUAGUGGUGGCUGCAUCAUGCUCUGGGUAUGCUUGUAAUCGUUAAGGACUGGGGAGUUUUUCAGGAUAAAAAAUAAAUGGAAUGGUGCUAAGCACAGGCAAAACCUUGUUCAGUCUGCAUUCCACCAGAUACUGGGAGAUUAAUUCACCUUUCAGCAGGACAAUAACCUAAAACAAAAGGCCCCAUCUAGACUGGAGUUUCUUACCGAGAAGUCUGUGAAUGUUCCCGAGUGGCCGAGUUACAGUUUCGACUUAAAUCUACCUAAAACUUUAUGGAAAGACCUGAAAAGGGUUGUUUAGCAAUGACCAACAACCAAUUUGACAGAGCUUGAAUGAUUUUGAAAAUAAUAAUGGGCAGAUGUUGUACAAUCCAGGUGUGCAAAGCUCUUAGAGACUUACCCAGAAAGACUGACAGCUGUACUCGCUGCCAAAGGUGCUUGCAUCUACAACAAAUUGACUCAGGGGUGUAAAUACUUACGGAAAUGAGAUAUUUCUGUAUUUAAUUUUCAAUAAAUGUGCAACAAAAAAAAAUCUAAAAACAUGUUUUCACUUUCUCAUUAUUGGGUAUUGUGUGUAGAUGGAUGAGAAAAAAUAUAUAAUUAAUACAUUUUGAAUUCAGGAUGUAACACAACCAAAUGUGGAAUAAAUCAAAGGGUAUAAAUACUUUCUGAAGGCACUGUAUAGGCUUAAAAAUGUAAUUCUCCAAUUUCAAACAUGUUUUGGGGAAAUGUCACCCACUCUUUCUUUAAACAAAAUAAAUAUCUUAGUUCACUAGACGUGAACUAGGACUUAAGCUGUGGAAACUGACGAUUUGACCUGAAUGUAUACUUUACAGUACCAUUCACUAUUGGUUACCAAUAUAUUAACAUCUAUUCUAUGGGACCAGUGACUAAUUUUAAAGUUCAGCCAUUUACAUUUUUUGGGAUGUAACACAAACGGUGAUGUAUAUAAACCCUGGAUUGCUGAUGCUAUGUAUAUUUUUUCAAUGUUUAUUUUUAUGUUUAGCUCACAUAAUAUAAUAACAAAAAUAUGCAUUAACAUGUCUGUAAUAUACUGAACAAAAACAUAAAUGCAACAUGUAAAGUGUUGGUCCCAUGUUUCAUGAACUGAUAUAAAUGAUAUGUUCCAAAUGCACAAAAGCUUCUUUUUCUCAGAUUUUUUUUUACAUCCGUUAGUGAGCAUUUCUCCUUUGCCAAGAUAAACCAUCCACUUGACAGGUGUGGCAUAUCAAGAAGCUGAUUAAACAGCAUGAUCAUUACACAGGUGCACCUUGUACUGGGGACAAUAAAAGGCCACUCUAAAAUGUGCAGUGUUGUCACACAACACAAUGCCACAGGUGUCUCAAGUUUUGAGGGAGCCUGCAAUUGGCAUGCUGACUGCAGGAAUGUCCACCAGAGCUGUUGCCAGAGAAUGUUAUGUUCAUUUCUCUACCAUAAGACGCCUACAAGGUUAUUUUAUAGAAUUUGGCAGUACGUCCAACCAGUCUCACAACCGCAGACCACGUGUAACCACGCCAGCCCAGGACCUCCACAUCCGGCUUCUUUACCUGCGGGAGCAUCUGAGACCAGCCAACUGGACAGCUAAUGAAGCUGAGGAGUAUUUCUGUCUGUAAUAAAGACCUUUUGUUGUGAAAAACUAAUUCUGAUUGGCUGGGCCUGGCUCGCAAGUGGGGCCUAAUUUAUUUAUUUAAAAUGACUGAUUUCCUUAUAUGAAGUGUAACUCAGUACAAUCGUUGAAAUUGUUGCAUGUUGCAUUUAUAUUUUUGUUCAGUAUAGAAUAAACGUGGCAAAAACAAAUGUAGACUUUAUAAAUGCAUUUCUAUAGCUUCCAAAAUAUUUUUUUUCAACGGUGGGGGAGUUCCAAGAUGGAGGUACGGCGGCUUCAAAACAGCGCUCCCUGUCAGUCAUCUAGUGUAUAUAUAAAUCAUUGAACACAACCUAUUGUUUCCAAUAUGUUACACUUAAAAGCUAACAAUGCUCCAAAAGGUGACAAUUCCUUUGACUUUGUUUUUUAUGUUUACAUCUUUUUUUUUUUGCAGCCUAUUUUUGAUACCCAACCCAACAUCAAUAUCCAUACAACCUAAUGUUAUGGUCUCUAGCACAGUGACUACAAUGUUAGGCCACAGUUCUCUUCUCUUCCAUCUCUUCCUAUAGGUCAUUUUUGGUCUCAAGUAUUUCUUUGUCUUCCUCAUUCUGAUUUUUACUACUCUGUGAUAGGUCAGAGGCAUAUCCUCUCUCCACCUCCAUGCCGUUGCUGGAUAGGUCCAUCCCUCUAUCGGUCAUUGUCACGUCAUCCAACGAGCCAAUAAGCAGCUGAGCUGAGGUGUCUAUUGCUGGAGUGGUGCUAGUGUCUGUUGUUCUGCUGUUGGUAACAGUCCUGCAUGGGGAUGAGAGGGUGAAAGGUCAGUGUCCAUCACCAUAGGAACAUACUGGGGGAAAACAUGCCGAAGGAAGAGGCUGAGAGGGAGGGAAAGAAGUAGGAAUGGAGAGAGAGAUGGGACAGGGAAAGGAGAAGAGAGGGAUGCAAGAUCCCAGUAAACACAAUUACGUUGAAAAUAUGUCUUUUAGACAUCUAGUUGCUGAAUCAAAGUUGAAAAUAUGUAUUUUCCGGACGUUGAAAAUACAUAUUCAACAGGGCAUUGAAAUUGGGUGCAUUUCAGGUGCGGAAUGAAAGGUGAAAAUACAUAUUCUACAGGGCAUUGAAAAGACUUCAAUUACAGACAUUGAAAAUAUGUUAAUAACAGAUGUUGAAUACUUAUUUUUUCAGUCAUUGAUUCUAUGGCCAACUUUCAUAUGCAUAUACACUACCGUUCAAACAUUUGGGGUCACUUAGAAAUGUCCUUGUUUUUGAAAGAAAAGCACCUUUUUUGUCCAUGAAAUUAACAUCAAAUUGAUCUGAAAUACAGUGUAGACAUUGUUAAUGUUGUAAAUGACUAUUGUAGCUGUAAACGGCUGAUUUGUAAUGGAAUAUAUACAUAGGCGUACAGAGCCCAUUAUAAGCAACCAUCACUCCUGUGUUCCAAUGGUAAUCCAAGUUUAUCAUUUUUAAAAGGCUAAUUGAUCAUUAGAAAACCCUUUUGCAAUUAUGUUAGCACAGCUGAAAACUGUUGUUCUGUUUAAAGAAGCAAUAAAACAAACCU
rnacentral:lncRNA from 1 species